rnacentral:rRNA from 1 species
CGGGGGCUUUUUUACCUCGCUAUUCGCGUCAUAGUAAUUAUAUUAAAAUCUCAUCAUGUCGUAAGGGAAAAUAAUGAUAUUACCUUACUAUUAGUGUCGUCCAAAUCUGGUGCCAGAAGACUCGGUAAGACCAGAGACGCAAACGUUAAUCAUCAUAAACAGGCGUAAAGGGUUUGUAGGCAGCUCCCACCAGACUAUGAUUCCAAAAUAAAGUAGUCUAAUUGAGAGCUAGAAUCAAAAAGAGGUUAUAGUGUAUAACGCCUAGAGGAGGGCUGAUAUCCAUAGAUCCUAGGCAGAAUACUCAGGGCGAAGGCCACUCUCCACUAAUGAUUGACGCUGAGAAACGAAGGUUAGGGUAGGAAAUAGGAUUAGAUACCCCGGUACUCCUUUCUGUAAACGAUGAAUGGUAGUCAUUAGUUUUAUAACUAGAGACGAAGUUAACACAAUAACCAUUCCGCCUUGUGAGUACUACUGCAAAGUAGAAAACAAAAAAAUUAGUCGGUCUCGAAGCAAACGGAGUGAAGCAUGUUAUUUAAUUCGAUAAAUCCGCA